rnacentral:rRNA from 1 species
AUUGAACGCUGGCGGCAUGCCUUACACAUGCAAGUCGAACGGCAGCACGGAGCUUGCUCUGGUGGCGAGUGGCGAACGGGUGAGUAAUAUAUCGGAACGUACCCUAGAGUGGGGGAUAACGUAGCGAAAGUUACGCUAAUACCGCAUACGAUCUAAGGAUGAAAGUGGGGGAUCGCAAGACCUCAUGCUCGUGGAGCGGCCGAUAUCUGAUUAGCUAGUUGGUAGGGUAAAAGCCUACCAAGGCAUCGAUCAGUAGCUGGUCUGAGAGGACGACCAGCCACACUGGAACUGAGACACGGUCCAGACUCCUACGGGAGGCAGCAGUGGGGAAUUUUGGACAAUGGGCGAAAGCCUGAUCCAGCAAUGCCGCGUGAGUGAAGAAGGCCUUCGGGUUGUAAAGCUCUUUUGUCAGGGAAGAAACGGUGGGAGCUAAUAUCUCUUGCUAAUGACGGUACCUGAAGAAUAAGCACCGGCUAACUACGUGCCAGCAGCCGCGGUAAUACGUAGGGUGCAAGCGUUAAUCGGAAUUACUGGGCGUAAAGCGUGCGCAGGCGGUUUUGUAAGUCUGAUGUGAAAUCCCCGGGCUCAACCUGGGAAUUGCAUUGGAGACUGCAAGGCUAGAAUCUGGCAGAGGGGGGUAGAAUUCCACGUGUAGCAGUGAAAUGCGUAGAUAUGUGGAGGAACACCGAUGGCGAAGGCAGCCCCCUGGGUCAAGAUUGACGCUCAUGCACGAAAGCGUGGGGAGCAAACAGGAUUAGAUACCCUGGUAGUCCACGCCCUAAACGAUGUCUACUAGUUGUCGGGUCUUAAUUGACUUGGUAACGCAGCUAACGCGUGAAGUAGACCGCCUGGGGAGUACGGUCGCAAGAUUAAAACUCAAAGGAAUUGACGGGGACCCGCACAAGCGGUGGAUGAUGUGGAUUAAUUCGAUGCAACGCGAAAAACCUUACCUACCCUUGACAUGGCUGGAAUCCUUGAGAGAUCAGGGAGUGCUCGAAAGAGAACCAGUACACAGGUGCUGCAUGGCUGUCGUCAGCUCGUGUCGUGAGAUGUUGGGUUAAGUCCCGCAACGAGCGCAACCCUUGUCAUUAGUUGCUACGAAAGGGCACUCUAAUGAGACUGCCGGUGACAAACCGGAGGAAGGUGGGGAUGACGUCAAGUCCUCAUGGCCCUUAUGGGUAGGGCCUCACACGUCAUACAAUGGUACAUACAGAGCGCCGCCAACCCGCGAGGGGGAGCUAAUCGCAGAAAGUGUAUCGUAGUCCGGAUUGUAGUCUGCAACUCGACUGCAUGAAGUUGGAAUCGCUAGUAAUCGCGGAUCAGCAUGUCGCGGUGAAUACGUUCCCGGGUCU